CGAGCGGAGAGAGGUAGCUUGCUACUUGAUCUUAGCGGCGGACGGGUGAGUAAUGCUUAGGAAUCUGCCUAUUAGUGGGGGACAACAUUUCGAAAGGAAUGCUUAAUACCGCAUACGUCCUACGGGAGAAAGCAGGGGAUCUUCGGACCCUUGCGCUAAUAGAUGAGCCUAAGUCGGAUUAGCUAGUUGGUGGGGUAAAGGCCUACCAAGGCGACGAUCUGUAGCGGGUCUGAGAGGAUGAUCCGCCACACUGGGACUGAGACACGGCCCAGACUCCUACGGGAGGCAGCAGUGGGGAAUCUUGCGCAAUGGGCGAAAGCCUGACGCAGCAACGCCAGCGUGUGUGAUGAAGGUCUUCGGAUCGUAAAGCACUGUCGCGAG
rnacentral:rRNA from 1 species